UACGGAGGGAGCUAGCGUUGUUCGGAAAUACUGGGCGUAAAGCGCACGUAGGCGGCGCAGCAAGUCAGGGGUGAAAUCCCGGGGCUCAACCUCGGAACUGCCCUUGAUACAGCACGUCUUGAGUCCGGAAGAGGUGGGUGGAAUUCCUAGUGUAGAGGUGAAAUUCGUAGAUAUUAGGAAGAACACCGGUGGCGAAGGCGGCCCACUGGUCCGGUACUGACGCUGAGGUGCGAAAGCGUGGGGAGCAAACAGG
rnacentral:rRNA from 1 species